CCCCAUAUCAGAUAAUAGAAGGAAAUUUCGACUAUUUGUGUUCGUUCAUAAUGAAAUACAUGAUCUAAGAUGAAGUACAAAAAAAUAUUAUCAAUGGAUGCCUAGAAAUAAUUUUCAACAACCUACUGCAAUAUCCCCAAGCGUUUUGAAUUUCCAUUUAUAAAAAACAUGCCAUUAUUGGUACAUUCUUCAUGGAUGAUCAUAUCCAAGUAACGGACACAAAAGAUUUCUGUGGAAGACCCUCAUGUGUAAAGAGAAAAACCUCAUACAAACCAGAAAGUCCAAUUUCACCAAAACAUAUAUAACAUUCUCUCAAGUUUUUGCCCAAAUCUUGAGGUACUACAGUACAUAAAUUAGAGACAAUUUAGGGUUACCUUUUACAAAAUUUCAAAACCUGAAUUGAGGCAUUUAAGGGUCAGCGCAAAACUUCAAAGUUGGGAAAAACAGAUCUCGGUAUAACUGGAACAGUCAUAAAUUAUACCAGAAGUUGAAAUGCUUCCUUCCAAGUUUACAUCUAUGUACCACUCUUCCACCCCGAAGGCCCAACACCAAAAUGCACAUAAAUGACCUUAACAGAUGUAUAACAUUACCACCAUCCUGACACUGCGCCAUAACCUUCACCAUCAUGCCACAGGCUUAUAACCACCACAAUCUCACCAAAUCUACACAAGACUGUCGAUGUUUCAACUUUCACCACCAUCAACUCUAAAACCACUGCCAUCACAGCCUCUAGUGCUAACUAAAUCUCCAGAUACAUUGGUCUUGCUUAGUCUACAAACUGAGAGCAAUGAUCACAAGCACUUACCACCAACACAUAGGCAACAAUCACAGGCUCCUACAGGUAAAAAACACCAAUCCAUGAUUGCAGGCCCAUUUACCAUUAGACUCAAACGCUUCAUAGCCGGAAAUUUCAAGUCUUUAAUUCUCCUUUUCCUUUAUUUCAACAGUCGGAGACGAUGAAUGGUGAUUUUGAGGCUCAUGGCUGAUGGAGUGAUUGUAAUUUGAGAAAAUACUUUCGGGAGAAUAUUGUGCACAUAGGUUGCAUUGGUUGAUUAUUCUUAUAAUCUUGUUUGUAUUAUUUUUGGGUAUCCGUGGCCUUAAGUUUGGUUAGUAGAAGUGGUUUUACGAUAAUGGUAGGUUGCCGGAAUGGGUUGAGAGGAUGAUCAACCAAUAUGAGAGAAAAAU
rnacentral:lncRNA from 1 species